CUAAGUUUGAUGGCGACCGGCGCACGGGUGAGUAACACGUAUCCAACCUGCCGAUGACUCGGGGAUAGCCUUUCGAAAGAAAGAUUAAUACCCGAUGGCAUAGUUCUUCCGCAUGGUGGAACUAUUAAAGAAUUUCGGUCAUCGAUGGGGAUGCGUUCCAUUAGGUUGUUGGCAGGGUAACGGCCCACCAAGCCUUCGAUGGAUAGGGGUUCUGAGAGGAAGGUCCCCCACAUUGGAACUGAGACACGGUCCAAACUCCUACGGGAGGCAGCAUG
rnacentral:rRNA from 1 species